rnacentral:rRNA from 1 species
GGGUUGUGAGGUUAAGCGACUAAGCGUACACGGUGGAUGCCCUGGCAGUCAGAGGCGAUGAAGGACGUGCUAAUCUGCGAUAAGCGUCGGUAAGGUGAUAUGAACCGUUAUAACCGGCGAUUUCCGAAUGGGGAAACCCAGUGUGAUUCGUCACACUAUCAUUAACUGAAUCCAUAGGUUAAUGAGGCGAACCGGGGGAACUGAAACAUCUAAGUACCCCGAGGAAAAGAAAUCAACCGAGAUUCCCCCAGUAGCGGCGAGCGAACGGGGAGCAGCCCAGAGCCUGAAUCAGUGUGUGUGUUAGUGGAAGCGUCUGGAAAGGCGCGCGAUACAGGGUGACAGCCCCGUACACAAAAAUGCACAUGCUGUGAGCUCGAUGAGUAGGGCGGGACACGUGGUAUCCUGUCUGAAUAUGGGGGGACCAUCCUCCAAGGCUAAAUACUCCUGACUGACCGAUAGUGAACCAGUACCGUGAGGGAAAGGCGAAAAAGAACCCCGGCGAGGGAGUGAAAAAGAACCUGAAACCGUGUACGUACAAGCAGUGGGGAGCACGCUUAGGCGUGUGACUGCGUACCUUUGUAUAAUGGGUCAGCGACUUAUAUUCUGUAGCAAGGUUAACCGAAUAGGGGAGCCGAAGGGAAACCGAGUCUUAACUGGGCGUUAAGUUGCAGGGUAUAGACCCGAAACCCGGUGAUCUAGCCAUGGGCAGGUUGAAGGUUGGGUAACACUAACUGGAGGACCGAACCGACUAAUGUUGAAAAAUUAGCGGAUGACUUGUGGCUGGGGGUGAAAGGCCAAUCAAACCGGGAGAUAGCUGGUUCUCCCCGAAAGCUAUUUAGGUAGCGCCUCGUGAAUUCAUCUCCGGGGGUAGAGCACUGUUUCGGCAAGGGGGUCAUCCCGACUUACCAACCCGAUGCAAACUGCGAAUACCGGAGAAUGUUAUCACGGGAGACACACGGCGGGUGCUAACGUCCGUCGUGAAGAGGGAAACAACCCAGACCGCCAGCUAAGGUCCCAAAGUCAUGGUUAAGUGGGAAACGAUGUGGGAAGGCCCAGACAGCCAGGAUGUUGGCUUAGAAGCAGCCAUCAUUUAAAGAAAGCGUAAUAGCUCACUGGUCGAGUCGGCCUGCGCGGAAGAUGUAACGGGGCUAAACCAUGCACCGAAGCUGCGGCAGCGACGCUUAUGCGUUGUUGGGUAGGGGAGCGUUCUGUAAGCCUGUGAAGGUGUACUGUGAGGUAUGCUGGAGGUAUCAGAAGUGCGAAUGCUGACAUAAGUAACGAUAAAGCGGGUGAAAAAGCCCGCUCGCCGGAAGACCAAAGGGUUCCUGUCCAACGUUAAUCGGGGCAGGGUGAGUCGACCCCUAAAGGCGAGGCCGAAAGGCGUAGUCGAUGGGAAACAGGUUAAUAUUCCUGUACUUGGUGUUACUGCGAAGGGGACGGAGAAGGCUAUGUUGGCCGGGCGACGGUUGUCCCGGUUUAAGCGUGUAGGCUGGUUUUCCAGGCAAAUCCGGAAAAUCAAGGCUGAGGCGUGAUGACGAGGCACUACGGUGCUGAAGCAACAAAUGCCCUGCUUCCAGGAAAAGCCUCUAAGCAUCAGGUAACAUCAAAUCGUACCCCAAACCGACACAGGUGGUCAGGUAGAGAAUACCAAGGCGCUUGAGAGAACUCGGGUGAAGGAACUAGGCAAAAUGGUGCCGUAACUUCGGGAGAAGGCACGCUGAUAUGUAGGUGAAGUGAUUUACUCAUGGAGCUGAAAUCAGUCGAAGAUACCAGCUGGCUGCAACUGUUUAUUAAAAACACAGCACUGUGCAAACACGAAAGUGGACGUAUACGGUGUGACGCCUGCCCGGUGCCGGAAGGUUAAUUGAUGGGGUCAGCGCAAGCGAAGCUCUUGAUCGAAGCCCCGGUAAACGGCGGCCGUAACUAUAACGGUCCUAAGGUAGCGAAAUUCCUUGUCGGGUAAGUUCCGACCUGCACGAAUGGCGUAAUGAUGGCCAGGCUGUCUCCACCCGAGACUCAGUGAAAUUGAACUCGCUGUGAAGAUGCAGUGUACCCGCGGCAAGACGGAAAGACCCCGUGAACCUUUACUAUAGCUUGACACUGAACAUUGAGCCUUGAUGUGUAGGAUAGGUGGGAGGCUUUGAAGUGUGGACGCCAGUCUGCAUGGAGCCGACCUUGAAAUACCACCCUUUAAUGUUUGAUGUUCUAACGUGGACCCGUAAUCCGGGUUGCGGACAGUGUCUGGUGGGUAGUUUGACUGGGGCGGUCUCCUCCUAAAGAGUAACGGAGGAGCACGAAGGUUGGCUAAUCCUGGUCGGACAUCAGGAGGUUAGUGCAAUGGCAUAAGCCAGCUUGACUGCGAGCGUGACGGCGCGAGCAGGUGCGAAAGCAGGUCAUAGUGAUCCGGUGGUUCUGAAUGGAAGGGCCAUCGCUCAACGGAUAAAAGGUACUCCGGGGAUAACAGGCUGAUACCGCCCAAGAGUUCAUAUCGACGGCGGUGUUUGGCACCUCGAUGUCGGCUCAUCACAUCCUGGGGCUGAAGUAGGUCCCAAGGGUAUGGCUGUUCGCCAUUUAAAGUGGUACGCGAGCUGGGUUUAGAACGUCGUGAGACAGUUCGGUCCCUAUCUGCCGUGGGCGCUGGAGAACUGAGGGGGGCUGCUCCUAGUACGAGAGGACCGGAGUGGACGCAUCACUGGUGUUCGGGUUGUCAUGCCAAUGGCACUGCCCGGUAGCUAAAUGCGGAAGAGAUAAGUGCUGAAAGCAUCUAAGCACGAAACUUGCCCCGAGAUGAGUUCUCCCUGACCCUUUAAGGGUCCUGAAGGAACGUUGAAGACGACGACGUUGAUAGGCCGGGUGUGUAAGCGCAGCGAUGCGUUGAGCUAACCGGUACUAAUGAACCGUGAGGCUUAACCUUACAACGCCGAAGCUGUU